rnacentral:rRNA from 1 species
AAUUUUGGACAAUGGGGGAAACCCUGAUCCAGCCAUCCCGCGUGUAUGAUGAAGGCCUUCGGGUUGUAAAGUACUCUUGGCAGAGAAGAAAAGGUACCUCCUAAUACGAGGUACUGCUGACGGUACCUGCAGAAUAAGCACCGGCUAACUACGUGCCAGCAGCCGCGGUAAUCUGUAGGGUGCAAGGGUUAAUCGGAAUUUCUGGGCGUAAAGCGUAUGUAGGCGGUUCGGAAAGAAAGAUGUGAAAUCCCAGGGCUCAACCUUGGAACUGGAUUGUUAACUGCCGAGCUAGAGUAUGUCAGAGGGGGGUAGAAUUCCACGUGUAGCAGUGAAAUGCGUAGAUAAGUGGAGGAAUACCGAUGGCGAAGGCAGCCCCCUGGGAUAAUACUGACGCUCAGACACGAAAGCGUGGGGAGCAAACA